rnacentral:rRNA from 1 species
AGGGAAUUUUCCGCAAUGGGCGCAAGCCUGACGGAGCAACGCCGCGUGAGUGAAGACGGCCUUCGGGUUGUAAAACUCUGUUCUUGGGGAAGAACAAAAUGACGGUACCCAAGGAGAAAGCCCCGGCUAACUACGUGCCAGCAGCCGCGGUAAUACGUAGGGGGCAAGCGUUAUCCGGAUUUAUUGGGCGUAAAGCGCGCGCAGGCGGUCAGGUAAGGCGGAUGUGAAAGGCUACGGCUCAACCGUAGAGCGGCAUCCGAAACUGCUUGACUUGAGUGCAGGAGAGGAGAGUGGAAUUCCCGGUGUAGCGGUGGAAUGCGUAGAGAUCGGGAGGAACACCAGUGGCGAAGGCGACUCUCUGGACUGUAACUGACGCUGAGGCGCGAAAGCGUGGGGAGCAAAC